rnacentral:rRNA from 1 species
CCUACGGGUGGCUGCAGUGCGGAAUAUUGGUCAAUGGACGAGAGUCUGAACCAGCCAAGUAGCGUGAAGGAUGACUGCCCUAUGGGUUGUAAACCUCUUUUAUAAAGGAAUAAAACGAGGCACGUGUGCCUUUUUGCAUGUACUUUAUGAAUAAGGAUCGGCUAACCCAGUGCCAGCAGCCGCGGUAAUACGGAGGAUUCGAGCGGUAUCCGGAUUUGAUGGGUUUAAAGGGAGCGUAGAUGGGUUGUUAAGUCAGUUGUGAAAGUUUGCGGCUCAACCGUAAAAUUGCAAUUGAUACUGGCAGUCUUGAGUGCAGUUGAGGUAGGCGGAAUUCGUGGUGUAGCGGUGAAAUGCUUAGAUAUCACGAAGAACCCCGAUUGCGAAGGCAGCUUACUAGCCUGUGACUGACGUUGAUGCUCGAAAGUGUGGGUAUCAAACAGGAUUAGAUACCCCAGUAGUC